GAAAUGUCUUGCAAAGUGCAUGUCCAAGAGUUGGCAAAUAUUGCUAAUUUUUAUUCUGUAAAGCAAGAUUGAGGAACCCUCUGAAUGGAAUUGUUUUGAUUCUAAUGAAAUAAAGUUCGUAAAAAAAAAAAAAAAAAUGAACAUUUAGUCUCCUGUUCAGUAAUCUAAACUAUCGGGUUCUUCGGUGGGGUUUAUCGUCGGUUGGCAUCCGACAUUAUGGUGCUUUGCCGCCACCUACUGUACUGGAGUGUGGGCCAGUGACUGGGAGAAACUAAAUCACACUUUAUGGGUCAAAUUACACACCAUAUGUAUUGAAUUUAGAUCAAAUAAAUUGUAAACAUGAUAAAAGUUACUAAUGUAAACAUUUAAGGAAGAGUGAAAUUUGUUAAUCAAAAACUAAACAAUUGAAAUCAAAAUGUAUUGAAUUGUUAACAUCAAAAGCAAAACUUGCAAACACAAUUUUAAAGUGAGAGCAAAACAGAAAUGAUUUAAAGGUUUUCAGUUGAUCUUUCCCAACAACCAAUCCUAUUGAAUCCAUUUUGCCUACGCUCUUGCGUGCAAUUACUACCUUUUGGUUAUGCUACUCAUAUCUUGGUCCUCGAUUUCUUUGCCUUCACUGCAAGUUUGAUUAAGUUUUGGCUUUUUUUGUGAAGGGUGGUGUUUAGAGGGAGGCGUAGACAAUGCGUCUCCAUUGGUCCACUAGUUUUAGGGGUGAUUCACCUUAACCCAAUCAAUGAACUUUAUAUAUUUUUGUUUUUGGCUACUUAACCGGAUGGUCUGAUGUCACCACUGCAAAUCUUUCUCACUGUGGCCGCAUGUUCUGAACAUGGAGAACCAGUUACUAACACAUGCGCCGAACUUUGGGCAACAGGUGAAGGAGACACGAACCUGCUCUCAGAAUAUCUCUCUCAGACUGAGGAGCAGGCAGACCAACUUCCCAAAUAUGGGAGAAGCACUCAAAACCCACAAGUUGUUCUUUCAAAGAAAAUAAUACAUAAAUGAACACAGAAAAUUAAGAAGGUAGUUCCUGCAAGAGGGUGUUGCGGAUGACAACAGACAAUGGAAAAGCUCAGAGACACAAGCCAGCCAUCUGCCACUGAGAUUCAAGGAGUAAAGCAAUCCAGAAUCAGAACCGGGACCAUGCUACUAUGAGGCUGAACAAGAAUUGUUCCACUGCACCAGGGUACAGAGAGGGAUGAAAGACACCUUUACUCUACAUUUUCACCGAGUCUUCACACCUUCACAUUUCAUCCUGUAAAAUAAAGUAAAUUUUGUGCAUGC